rnacentral:rRNA from 1 species
AGAGUUUGAUCAUGGCUCAGGACAAACGCUGGCGGCGUGCUUAACACAUGCAAGUCGAACGAUGAAGCCCAGCUUGCUGGGUGGAAGAGUGGCGAACGGGUGAGUAACACGUGAGUAACCUGCCCUGAACUCUGGGAUAAGCACUGGAAACGGUGUCUAAUACUGGAUAUGACCUAUCACCGCAUGGUGUGUAGGUGGAAAGAUUUAUCGGUUCUGGAUGGACUCGCGGCCUAUCAGCUAGAUGGUGAGGUAAUGGCUCACCAUGGCGACGACGGGUAGCCGGCCUGAGAGGGUGACCGGCCACACUGGGACUGAGACACGGCCCAGACUCCUACGGGAGGCAGCAGUGGGGAAUAUUGCACAAUGGGCGCAAGCCUGAUGCAGCAACGCCGCGUGAGGGAUGACGGCCUUCGGGUUGUAAACCUCUUUUAGUAGGGAAGAAGCGAAAGUGACGGUACCUGCAGAAAAAGCACCGGCUAACUACGUGCCAGCAGCCGCGGUAAUACGUAGGGUGCAAGCGUUGUCCGGAAUUAUUGGGCGUAAAGAGCUCGUAGGCGGCUUGUCGCGUCUGCUGUGAAAUCCCGGGGCACAACCCCGGGCCUGCAGUGGGUACGGGCAAGCUAGAGUGCGGUAGGGGAGAUUGGAAUUCCUGGUGUAGCGGUGGAAUGCGCAGAUAUCAGGAGGAACACCGAUGGCGAAGGCAGAUCUCUGGGCCGCUACUGACGCUGAGGAGCGAAAGCAUGGGGAGCGAACAGGAUUAGAUACCCUGGUAGUCCAUGCCGUAAACGUUGGGAACUAUGUGUAGGGCCUGUUCCACGGGUUCUGUGUCGUAGCUAACGCAUUAAGUUCCCCGCCUGGGGAGUACGGCCGCAAGGCUAAAACUCAAAGGAAUUGACGG